GAGAAGCUGGUCAGGGACUUCAUCUGCUCCGCACUACCCGACUCACUGGACCCUCUACAGUUCGCAUACCGCCACAACAGGUCCACUGAUGAUGCCAUAGCCCUGACACUCCAUGCUGCCCUGUCACACCUGGAGAAGAGAGACACGUAUGUGAGAAUGCUGUUUGUAGAUUACAGCUCAGCAUUCAACACCAUCGUUCCCUCGAAGCUGGACAGGAAACUGCAGGAUCUAGGACUGAGCAGCUCCCUCUGCAGCUGGAUCCUUAACUUCCUGUCUGACAGACGCCAAGUGGUCAGACUGGGCAGCACCACCUCAUCCCCCAUCACACUGAACACUGGUGCUCCACAGGGGUGUGUACUGAGCCCUCUCCUGUACUCACUCUACACCUACGACUGCACGGCCACUGACAACUCCAACAUCAUUGUGAAUUUGCGGACGACACUACAGUGGUGGGUCUUAUCACCAACGGUGAUGAGACGGCCUACAGGGAGGAGGUCAGCGCCCUGACCCACUGGUGUCAAGACAACCAUCUCACCC
ensembl:lncRNA